rnacentral:rRNA from 1 species
UACGAAGGGGGCUAGCGUUGUUCGGAUUUACUGGGCGUAAAGCGCACGUAGGCGGAUAUUUAAGUCAGGGGUGAAAUCCCGGGGCUCAACCCCGGAACUGCCUUUGAUACUGGGUAUCUUUGAGUCCGGAAGAGGUGAGUGGAAUUCCGAGUGUAGAGGUGAAAUUCGUAGAUAUUCGGAGGAACACCAGUGGCGAAGGCGGCUCACUGGUCCGGUACUGACGCGGAGGUGCGAAAGCGUGGGAGCAAACAGG